rnacentral:rRNA from 1 species
UACGGAGGGGGCUAGCGUUGUCCGAAGUUACUGGGCGUAAAGCGCGCAUAGGCGGGUUGGUAAGUCCGCUGUGAAAGCCCGGAGCUUAACUCCGGAGGGUCGGUGGAUACUGCCAGUCUUGAAGGUGCUAGGGGGAGAUGGAAUUACCGGUGUAGCGGUGAAAUGCGUAGAUAUCGGUAGGAACACCAGUGGCGAAGGCGGUCUCCUGGGGCAUUCUUGACGCUGAGGCGCGAAAGCUGGGGGAGCAAACGGG